UGGGGGAUAUUGCACAAUGGGCGAAAGCCUGAUGCAGCGACGCCGCGUGGGGGAUGAAGGCCUUCGGGUUGUAAACUUCUUUUGCUCUGAACAAGGCAUGCCUUUGGGGUGUGUUGAGUGUAGGGGUUGAUUAGCGCCGGCUAACUACGUGCCAGCAGCCGCGGUAAUACGUAGGGCGCGAGCGUUGUCCGGAAUUAUUGGGCGUAAAGGGCUUGUAGGUGGCUGGUUGCGUCUGUCGUGAAAGCUCAUGGCUUAACUGUGGGUUUGCGGUGGGUACGGGCUGGCUUGAGUGCAGUAGGGGAGGCUGGAAUUCCUGGUGUAGCGGUGGAAUGCGCAGAUAUCAGGGGGAAUACCGGUGGCGAAGGGGGGUCUCUGGGCUGUUACUGACGCUGAGGAGCGAAAGCGUGGGGAGCGAACAGG
rnacentral:rRNA from 1 species